GAAAUGCGAUAAGUAAUGUGAAUUGCAGAAUUCAGUGAAUCAUCGAAUCUUUGAACGCACAUUGCGCCCGCCAGUAUUCUGGCGGGCAUGCCUGUUCGAGCGUCAUUUCAACCAUCAAGCCCCCGGCUUGUGUUGGGGACCUGCGGCUGCUCGCAGGCCCUGAAAAACAGUGGCGGGCUCGCUGUCACACCGAGCGUAGUAGCAUACAUUCUCGCUCAGGGCGUGCUGCGGGUUCCGGCCGUUAAACGACCUUCAUAACCCAAGGUUGACCUCGGAUCAGGUAGGAAGACCCGCUGAACUUAAGC
rnacentral:misc_RNA from 1 species